rnacentral:sRNA from 1 species
CGAGCAAGUAAAGGUCAUAUCCGAGUUGC